rnacentral:rRNA from 2 species
GCUAUACAUGCAGUCGAGCGGACAGAUGGGAGCUUGCUCCCUGAUGUUAGCGGCGGACGGGUGAGUAACACGUGGGUAACCUGCCUGUAAGACUGGGAUAACUCCGGGAAACCGGGGCUAAUACCGGAUGCUUGUUUGAACCGCAUGGUUCAGACAUAAAAGGUGGCUUCGGCUACCACUUACAGAUGGACCCGCGGCGCAUUAGCUAGUUGGUGAGGUAACGGCUCACCAAGGCGACGAUGCGUAGCCGACCUGAGAGGGUGAUCGGCCACACUGGGACUGAGACACGGCCCAGACUCCUACGGGAGGCAGCAGUAGGGAAUCUUCCGCAAUGGACGAAAGUCUGACGGAGCAACGCCGCGUGAGUGAUGAAGGUUUUCGGAUCGUAAAGCUCUGUUGUUAGGGAAGAACAAGUGCCGUUCAAAUAGGGCGGCACCUUGACGGUACCUAACCAGAAAGCCACGGCUAACUACGUGCCAGCAGCCGCGGUAAUACGUAGGUGGCAAGCGUUGUCCGGAAUUAUUGGGCGUAAAGGGCUCGCAGGCGGUUUCUUAAGUCUGAUGUGAAAGCCCCCGGCUCAACCGGGGAGGGUCAUUGGAAACUGGGGAACUUGAGUGCAGAAGAGGAGAGUGGAAUUCCACGUGUAGCGGUGAAAUGCGUAGAGAUGU